CCCCCUCCUCCUGCCGCCCGUGCCGCUCCCGCCGCCUCGUGUCGGGAUGCCGGCGCCUUCUCUCGCUGCCGUUCCUUGUCUCCGAGUAACGCGUGGAAUCCCCCGCUGGCGCUCAGAGGAGCCGACCCGGGAGCCUCCCCCCGCCCCGCUGCGGUGGACGUUAAUUCCCCUUUCCGCACAAAAGUUUCUGGAGAAUUCCUUGCCCCGCUGCUCCCCGCCCCCUGUGAAUAAGGUGACGCAGUGUGAAGCGGGAGGCUGACUUUCAUCCACUGCAGGAUGUGAUGAGUUCAAGGAGAAAGCCAGAUGUCAGGUGUUGAAGUCCUCCCUCAGGUCUGUAACUUCAAAAUGGGGCCUGUUUGGGGGUGCACUUUGAGCCAGGUGACCUCCAGCAGCUCCCCAAACAAGCUAAAGGAAUCUUUGCUCUUGUGAGACACUUUCUUUUUAAUAGUGUGGAGUGCCUGGCUAGUGCUCAGCGCAGCAUCCACGGCGAAUACAAAUGCACUGUGCAGCCAGCCCUCUGCAUAGCCCCAGCCAGAGAUCUUCACAAGUUUCACUGUGAAUGCUUCUUUCUUCAUCCAUCUCGAACUGCAACCAGCAACCACACAGUAAACUUGCCAGAUGAGGCUCCCCACCAGAUGAAAAGGAGCAGUAAAAAUUACAGCUUCCCAAACUAUCCCUUACUGUGAAUAAAGACAGCUUCUAGUAAAGGAGAGAGACAGGGUUUCCUGGUCGCAAGGCUCUGCCAUGGUCCUUCCACCUCUCAGCUGAUAGCAAUUUAUACAGACACAAAGCACUAACUUGCAAAUUAGAAAUUUACUAGGGCUAAGCCAGGGAGUUUGGACACAGUAAAUAAAAUCCAGCAACCUAUCUUAAGCUGUGAGGUAUCCCUCUGAGCUUUAAGUAUUACUGUGGGAAAAGAAUAGAAAAAUGAAAGGCAAAAAAAAAAAAAUUCAGGCUAAAACUGUAAAAUUAUAUGUCAACAUUUCCUUUUAUACAACAGCUACAUGAAGCUAUGGGAUAAAUCUGGCCUGACAGAACAGCUCAUCCCGUUCCUGGUCUGUUCCCCACUGCCAGCCACAGCUGGGUCAUUCCAGGGCCCUGAACACAUCCCCCACCCGCGUGUUUCAUUAAAAUGUAAAUGUGCUCUUGCAUGCAAACAGCAGCUGCUUGAAUGGUUGGUCAGUAGAGCACUGGGGGGAUGUGGGAGGGACGCAGGAGACAGGCUGAGCAGGCAGACUCCCGAUGACGUGCUGGGAGAACACAUCGCUGGUAUUCGUGAUAGGCAGUGGUCAUGUCUUUGCUAUAAAACAGAAUUUUCCCUACCUUCAAGCCAAAUAUUUGUUUAAAGGUUAGAAAAUGUUUGCAUAAGAACACACCUCUCUUCAGUUACAGGAAAGUGUGUCUGGGUAAGCUGAACCAGCCUCCUUCAGUUUUCCAUUUUUAUGAAUCAGUCACUCUCCAUUUUUAGAAGCCUCUCACACUUGGAGGCUUGUUGCACUGAAGAGAAAAGGAGGACUCUCUGCUGAACAGAACCUGCAGUACUCUCCUAACUUAAUUUUUAUCUCCAAAGCUUUCUAGAGGCAUGGACUGAGGGGAACAAUGGCAGAGUGUCACAGCUGUGUCACCAAAGCAUUCAGUUCUUGCUUCCAAAGCAAACAUCUGGACUGUCUGAGUUUUAGCCACCAUUAUUGAUAUUCAUAUUUUAACUCAAAGUGCCUAACAUAACAAAUAACUUAAUUAUAUAUUUCUUUGGAAUAAGAAGGUGUCUUCAUAUUCAGUUUUCUGAUUUGAGUGAUUGUAUUUACCAUGAUAAUAUCACAUAUGAAUGCAGUUAGGGCAUUCCAGCUUCAUUCCACAGUAUGCUAUAUCCAUUUACAUGUUUUGCUAGUCAAGGAUUAGGCUAGUUGAGUAUUCAGUGUACUGAAUUCCAUGUUCUGUCCUGUAUAACAUGACUUCACAACAUGCUUCAGCAGGGAGUGACUGAAACUGGGGAGCAGGCUGCUACAGAACAGCCUUUUCCUAGCAGACGUUUCAUUCUAUGGUGACCAUUCCUCUUAAUAAAAUAUGCAUCCAGUUAAUAAAGUGUACCGCAUCAUCACAUUGUACACCAACAGUGCUCUGUGGCGACUGGGCUCCUUACUGUUGGAGAAGUCCAGCUGCAAGCAGAGUGAAGAAACCCACUGUUGGAAGAUACUGGUGUUCUUCAUUGCAUGAAACUCCCUCAGAGCUACAGAAAAUGCAAAUACAAGCUGCCUGUCUAGGGACAGAAAAGAAGGCAGACAUUCUAAUCCACCAUAGAACUGAGACAGAAACCACAGUUGUGUCCUGGGGUACUAGAAAACCACAGAGAAAAUUAGUAGUUUCCAACUCUGCUGCCUGGGGAGGUAGGACAACUCCCCUAUCACAUCACUGGGCAUGCAGCUUCUAUGGCAUAGUCCAGAGGCUGAGAAAAUCCUCUCUUGUACAUAAGAAGUGUAAGGCCCUUUCAGAGCUAUAUGAGUCACUGACAUUUUCUGUUGGGAGAAAAGUAAAAAUGAAAUGAAGAAGUGUUAAUGGCAGUCUGUUCUUCUCUGAGAUUUUUGGUUAACUAGAAUAAUCUUUAAUUACAGAAAUGUUGCCAAUGAAAUGCUGAAGGGCUUGAGACAUCAGAAGAUAAGGAGGUGCUGGCUAGAGGAAGAGGACCGCUUGGUGGCAGACAGUGACCAGAGAGGGGGAUCACUGGACUCUAGUCUUUUGUCCAGUGACUGAAAAUGACAAUAGAUAAAAAUAGUAGCUUCAGUGAAAAGCAAGAAUAGCACAAAGCAGUGCUCCAGUGCCCAGAGCCUGGUCUGUGCUGGGUGGCAUAGGCCAAAGAGGAGAUUUGACAUGGACGCUCUGCUGCUGUAAUCGCUGGGCUCUAGUCAGUGAGCAGGAAUGAGUCUGGGGAAAGGGAAACACCCAUGUUUGGCACUGUUACUUCUAUCAAGAUUAUAACAUAUUUUCAGCACCAAAAAGAAAACUGGAAGUUACUCAUAUGCACAGAAACUUCAAGUUAACUGAAAGGAUUAUUUAUUUUCCUUUUAUUUUUGCCCCCACCAAAAGAGUAGUCUCUUAGCCAGAUCACAAAACUUUUUCCAUCAGUCUUAGAAGAAAAAGCCCUUCCUCUCAUUAUGUUGUAGAACCUUAAGUCCCAGGAGCUGGGUAAAUAAAAUUAGUUACCAGGCAAUACUUAUCCUGCCAAACCUGUUCUGCUCUGGCAUACGUACAGCAUGAACUCACAGUACAGGGAACAGAGGAGGUGGUGGUGAGGAAUAGUGGGAUGAACCAGGACAGUGUGGGAGGCAAUGGAAAAUUAAGUGGGGAAAACGUGAAGCAGUAUCAAAGCCGUGUCACCGACAGCUGAAUAUUGAAUAGCAGCAGGGAACUGCUUUGUCCUUCAGAACCUUUCUUCAAAUUUGGCAUGGAUAUAAAUUCAGUGGUUAUGACAGUUUGAAGUCUGAUCAGUCCUAAAUUAUGUAUACAUGAAGAAAGAUUGCCAUUAAUGUGCGAGUCUCUGAAUUCACUUCUAUUAAUGAUUCUGCCCCUGGAAUAUUUUUUAAUGAAACUGAUAAGAAGUAGAAUCCUUCAUUAUUUAGUCUAUCUGUUAAGUUAAGGCUGGAACAUAAUACAUUUCCUUUUAUAGAAGAAUAUUUUUCUGAUCAAUUGUUUCUAAAUACUGAAGUUACAAGCUUUUGCAGAAGUUAGUACAAGGUUGGCUAGUGGCUCUGAUUGAAUGUCAUGGCCCUGUGGGCAGGCAGGAUGUGAAUUUGUAAGAAUCACAUCCUCACAGACAAUAACACAAAUGUAGUUAAGUUGAGAGGCUGUCAGAUGUUGCCAUGUGUUCUGUUUCCAAUGGGUAAGGUGUUCUAUUUUGGUUAAAUGGAAUAAUCUAGAUUUGGGUCAAAUAAAGUAAAACUUACAAAAGUUGAGAGCCUGACUUUUCAGUGAAAAAAGUAAUCUGUGAAGAGGGGAUGCAUUCCCAUCUUAAUUUGGCAGGAGGAUGGAGAUGGAAUAAGAGAGUACAGAUGUAUUUAGGUCUUUAAAAUUUAUCAGCAGCAUACUGCUGACAGUAGAUACAUUGCUUUGGAAGAAAAAGAGUCAGCAAAUUUUGUGUCCAUGUUCAUGCCAUUUCCAACAAAACGUGCCUGGCUAAAUUCUACUUGAGAGGGAAGGGAUAAAGCUUGAGAUUUAGUGGUUUCCUCAAAAAAACCCAAAAAAACAACCAAACAUUUUAUGCUGUGUACUUAAUGGUGCAACGCUGUCCACAAAGGUUAAGACCACUGAUGUGUGAUAGCAAAGGAAUGAAUGUACCUAGUUUGGACCUAUAUUUAGGGGAAGGUUUGCAUCAUGAAGUAGUAGUGUUUAGAAUCAAGGAAGUUUAUAUGCAUGGUCAGGCACAAUUUCUUUCUUGAGUGAGUCAUCCUUGUUCAGCAUAAAUAUAAUUUUCUUUAGAGUUGCAAUAAGUAUUCUUAUCUAACCACUGAUCUUGCUGUCCAGUUAGAAUAACUGAUAGAUAACUCUUUUAUUAAGAUAAGCAUUUUAUGUCAUGGAAAAAGUAGUGUCAUGUAUAUUUGCCACCAGGUUUACCAGUGACAUUAUCCAGAAAGCAGCUUGGUUUAUCUAAGAGGUAUAGGUCCAAUGGGGAUGAGGGCUGCAUAUGUGUACAUAAACACACACACCCAUGUAUAUACAGAUAUGGUCUUGUAUAAUUGUAUAUAUAGCAUGCUUCUUCAAACUCCUCACUAUUAUAUUCCAGGUUGUGCCAUAUCUUUGUAGAAAGGUAAUUACCUGUUAUUUGUAGGAUUGAGUUAACACUAAAGAAAUGUAUUAGCUCAGAGAAUUCAGUAUGUCAACAUGACCUUAUUAGUGAAUUGCAUUAGAUAAAAUUCAACAUUUUCAAUAAAAUGACCUUGCCUUCCUAAGUCCUGGGACAGUCACCCAGCAGAAACAGUCUUUUUAAUCUCUUGUUCAAGAUGUUGAAAAGACAAAUAGUUGAUAUACUUAACACUUUGUACUGGAAAAGUAGGGUUCAAGUAAAAAAAUAUUUUAUAUCUUUUCCAUCUACUCUGUCGAAUUUUUUGUUCUUCUUCCCCCAGCCUGGCAAUCUGCUCUUAAAGGUGGUCAUGGUGGGAAAUAAAAUAAUGCAGUAGCUAAAGUGGGCUCACACAACUGUGGAUGUCCAAGCCUCCAUCCUGGUCUUCCCAGUUCUGAGACCAGUUUUGGUUUUGUCUUGAAGAUGCUAUGUCAGUUCUUGGUCACCCAGGAAAUAAUGGUGUCAGCAAAGCCCACCAGCUUUCUCUGGGCCUGUUUCAAAACAUACAGACUUAGAAUUGAUUACACACUAAAUGGUCUGUCUGUAAUUACUUUUUACAGUAGUUGGGCUCUAUUUCCAUGGUUUCUGAUUUUGGCUAACUAGGGCCCUAGUCCUGGUCUUAGUUUAGUGGUCCUGUUGGGCUAUAGUGUACAUCCUUUUGCCUCUUUUAAUUCAAUUUGCAUCAAUGUAGAAUUUGUGUACUUGUUGUAAAAUCAAUUUUGUGCUACAGGCUGAGUUGGACUUGUGUUCAGUGGCGGACAAAAACCUGGACGCAGCCGUGGUGACAUUCUCUCUGACAGCUCAUGCACCCUUUCACCCAUUCACGGAAAGGUCACAUUAACUUGUCAAAACAGCUUUCAGCUUCAGCUCCAUUUGAUUCUGUGUUCCUGGGCCACAGCAUGUGUACACAGCACAGCACUGCUCUUUGAGGCCUCCUUGCCCUGGGCUAUGAGGUUGGAAGGAACAAUAUGUUCAUGCUCGGACUGGAUGUACUGGGGCCAGUGUGCUGGAGCUUGGUCUAGACACUGACUGCUCUUUGGCUCUGCCUCAGGCAGCUGGGCUCCAGUGACUGGAGAUGUUUCCCUUUGGAGCAGUGAGUGUCUUCAUGACUGCAAGGCAAUGGUUCCAGCCCAUAGGAGACCUAGUGGAUAGUGCAUCUCAUCUCCAGGCCAAGAUUCCUUGCUAAAGUAGAGAGGUCUAGUGCUGGAUGUAGCUGCCUGCAUGUGGAUCAUACAGGGCAGGUUCUUAGGAUUAGUUUCAGAUGCUGUCUAGACGCUGCCCAAGAAGUAAUCAGCUGUGGAAUAAGCAGGGUUGAAGAUUUGGGAAAGGAUCUCUUUCCCGCUUCAUCCACAGCUGAUAGCUAGGAUCUACUGCAGCUUGGCUUUUCAUGGCUCUAGGCUCCUAGAGAGCAGUGCUAGUGAGAGGCCCAUCUUUGCAGUGCCUAAUGUAAAAUACAUUCUAACCCAGACACUUGGGCAUACGUGAAAACAACACUUGUAUCUGACCUUGCGUAUUUCCUGUGCUGUUUGGAUCCUACAGUUUAAAGGAGCUUAAUGUUUAACUGUAGGGUGGCGUAAGUUCCAAUGCUUCCCUGAAAAUGUCCCAGCAGGAUGGAGGACCCAGGCAACCUCUUCCCUGGGCACAGGCUUUACAGCCAGCACAUGGUGGAGGGAAACACUGAAACAGGGACCCUUCUCUCUUUGUUUCUGCAGGGCAAAUCUGUGUGUUUCUGUGGUUGGUCCUGACAGCUCAGAGGCCUAAAAGUUCUUCUCUGGGAGUGCAGCACAAACCAACACACUGUACCAGAGACCCUCAGCCAUGGCAUUUAUACCUUGUAGCUAAAGGCCCACAUUACCACAGUGAAGUCAGCAGGAAUUACUACUUCUCGAUGAGGAAACACAGGCAAACCAUCUAAUUUGUGAUACUCCCACCUAACCAUGCUAUUUAGACAGGUCCAUUUUCCAGGCAGCCUUUCUGCCUCAGCAGUGUUAUAUUUUAAUAAGUGCUAUUCAUUGCCUCACUGAACCAAUGUCUGGAACAGCCCAUGGGUACUAUUGCCACAUGCACCUGCUAUAAUGAACACCAAAGCCUAUUUCAGUGACCUGAAUCUUUUGAAAAUUUAGUCCUUUAUUUUUAUCCACUUAGAGGGAGCACAAGCUACAGUGUCCUACUUUUUCUCAACUGUGUCAUCUGACUUAUCAAUCAAAACUGAGGCUGAAUCUUCUUAUCACCCACUGACUUUCAAUCAACCUAACAAACUGAUCAGAAGUACAAAGGAAAGGUUUUGUCACUCAGCCCUAUACCUCUGCAAAUCUUGAGUCAUGUGAGAUAUUAUAAAGUUUACAAAAAAUACAAUUUCAGUAAGGCCAAAUCCUACACUCUUCCUUGGAAAGGUACGCUUAGAUAGAAAGAACAUCACAGGACAAAGAGAAAAACUUCUGUGAAGUAAGGCAACUUUAAUAUGAGCUUUUGUACUAUUGGGUUGCUUAAUUUUAAAUAUAAUACAAUAGUAGUAUCAUUUUUAUCCACUUCCAUCAGAGUCCACUGUACACUCUUAUAACAUUUACCAGAUACAGAAAUAUAAAAGAUAGUUGGCCUACAGGCUGUUAAAGAAAUGGCUUAAAAUGUAGGUCUAUCCUGAAGAACCUCUGUUAAAAAUGUGACAGGUUUUUCCCCUGCACUUUAGAAAAUGCAUGAAGCAGUUUAAAAAUAACGUCACCAUCACCCCUACCUCCAAAAUCUGGUUUUCUUGUUGUUAUGGCAAAACAAGUGUCAGUGACCUGAUCCUAUUCUGUCUGACUCAGGAGACAUAUAUAGGAAACAAUUACAACACAUGCUAGAAGAUAAUUCCUUCCUUCCUCUUAGAAACUCUUUCCCAGAAUCCAGCCUGUGAUCCUUCAAAAAGUCUUCAGCCUGGCCAGGAAUAAAGAAUAAAAGACUGAAAUAUCCCUGUUUCCAAGGAAAACAGCCCACAUUUCUCACUGUGCCACCAUUUGUCUUCUGAUGUCUCACACCUGAUUUUAAGACAGAUCUACAAAAAACGUUGAAAAUAUGUUAGGUUGGGACCUAACAUUCGCAGCCCUUUUGAACAUUGCCAACUGUGGAUUUUCUUUUUCUGCUGCGUUGUGAUUGUCUCUACCUCCCCCAGUUCUUUGUUUAAAUUAGUCCUACCUGUGCCUCUUCUUGCUCCUGGUUAAAGUCCUCGUCUCAUACACAUCCCAUAAAGUAAAUUUAGGACUGUAUUUUCAUAAACAGUAAAAUGAAAUAAAAUUAACACUAUAUAUAUUUUUCAAGCUGUCCUUUCAUAAAUUAAGUCCUAAGCAGUACCUCAGUGCAUACAACUAAUGAUCAAAUGCUAAGCCAGGCUGCAGAAUUGACCAUCAGCAUAGGUUUUCCAAUGAAACUGAAUGGGUGUUAAAUUAAUUUUGGGACAGUAGAUACACAGCUUAGUAUUUGGAACAAUCUUGCUCACAGGUUUUAUGCUUUGCAUGAACCUCUGUUUCCAAGUCAACCACCUCAUCACCUCAUCAUACACCUCAUCAACAUAAAACCAAUCAAAAUAUAAAUGAUUUAUAUAAAGUUAUAACUAAUAGUAAUCAGAUGUAUUGCCACAAUGACAAUUACUUUUAUUUUGUGUUCAUUAAAUAAAAAAUUGAAGUUUUUUACCAGGCAGUGCUCAGAGAAGGAAAGAUGAAAUAGAAACCCUAAUAUUAUUGGUUGUUGGAGUUAAUUUUAAUAUCACCAGUCAAAGGGACAAAUUAAUAAUUUUAACAUUGUACUGAUGUCUUCUGUUUUACUGCAGUUAAAAUCUUACCAUGGAAAGUUUGACUAUAAAAUACAAAGGCUUUCAUAUGCUGUGUGCCUCUAUGCCACAUUAAAUGUUUCUUUUUGAAAAAGCAUUAUUUUGGUGCAAUUUACCUGCAACAGCACAAAACUCUGUUGGUAAACAAAAAUCAAUCUGCUGAUGAAAUUCAGUACAUCUAAAACAUAUUACUUUGUAAAGGAAAUUAUUGCCUGUGGAGGAAGGAAAGUAUUGUCUGUAGAGAAGCAACUUCUGGGCUGUACACUCUUCUUCAGUUAAUCUGAGCUUUGAUUGCAAUAAUGUAGUUUAAAACAGUUCAUUCCAAAGAGUGAGACCAGAAGAAUCAGACUGUAAUAAAAGAAUGUUUCAGUAAGAUUUUUGUGAGAAAAGUGCAUAGUGAUACAUAUUUGACAUUAAGCUUCACUGAUACUAAGCAUUUAGGUUAGUGCUGAGUAGACCCCUUAUUCCUCAAAGGAAUCUCAGUCACAUUCCACAAGGGAAACAAGCAUGAGAACACAAGGAGAAUGUGCAGCAAGCAGCUAGAGGCUAAAUGAGGUCCUGUCAGAAUUUCAGUAAGGACAAAUCUCCCCUAGCCAAGAUCAGUGAAAGGAUCUUGUGGAGUUGCCUCAGAUGUUUAAGGCAACUAGAAGAGAAACACUAUUUGUCAGGUAAAAAUAGUUACAAGAAUCAGACAAUGAGUGAGGUUUUAUGAGAUUAUACUGAUGAAGAAAAUGAUGAUGGUUAUUCCUACUAUCCAAAACCAUAGCAAUUUGGUCCAGGGUUACAAAGAACCUCAAUAUUAUUGAGUAUUUAUAUCUUCAUGCUCUUAUCAAAUCUAUUCAGCCAUAAAAUUUAUCUAAUAUAUGAUAUUACUGUGUCAUAAUUACUGAACAACUUAAUUUUGAGCACUGAAAAGAGAGAAAAUUUCAGUGCUUUAAAUCUCCUGACAGCUUGCGAGUGAGGAAAUUUUGGUUUUCUGAUUUUCUAUCUGAAAAAUGGAGUAAUAGAAACAGAAGAUUACUUUCUGAAAGCCAGUCACCAUGAGAUUGGGAGAGGUAUUUAAUAACACAGUCAGGAGUGCCAGCAAACCCCUACUGGCAUCAUUAGGAGUUGACAUUCAGUUGAUAGCAGUACUUUUUUGCAAUCUCAUGAAGGACUUGCCAGCCUCCUAAACCUCUAAUCCCCAGUGGCUGAAGUCCCUGCAUGAGGAGAAAGCAAUGAUGGAAUCAGUUGCCUGCUGCCUGGAAAUGAAAUCUGUGUGCAAAGCACAGGGAAAGCGGAUUUUUCUACAGCGUGUGGAAGGGAUGUCUGAUUUCCAAGCUGGCCUCUGCCAGAAAGUUUCAUUCCCUGGCAGGGUCUUACCUUGCUCCUUCUCUGGGUCACACUUUUAACCUGUCAGUAAUUCCUGCAGGAUUUUCUGAAUGCUUGUAUGCAUGCAGCCAUGUCCAAAACUCAACCAAGUAGAAAGGGCUGAUGGUGACUUGCAGCAGAGCAGUUGUGCUCUGCUGCCAGUCACCAUCAGCCCUUUCUACUUGACACCCUCUCCUGCUAAAGAUUCAACAAACAUAACUCCCACUGAAGAACAACGGGUGUUUCCAGUUUAAAUGGCAGUGGAUGAAGAAUCCUAUUGGUGUGCAGUCCUUACCUUCCAGCUCAGCACCUCAGCACCUCAGGCAGAGCUGGCCUGAGUGACUUCCCGUGGUGUCUGGGCUGUGGUGGAAAUACUGGACAUAUGCCAGGGACACUGCAGCUGUUGGCUUGCUGCCUUCUCCCUCAUGUGGCUUGAUGUGGCUCAUGUAUGGUUUUCCACAGGCAAAGGGGAUAACAGACCUGAAGGACCAUUGCACAAAAGAACCUGUAACAGCUCAGGAAAACCAAGAGUCUUGCGGUUAGUUCCCUAAACACCAAUUCUGAAACUUGAAGAUAGACACUUCGAAAUUUUUAGCCACAGACUUCUUCCUACUUAGACAUUUCCAUUCAUAUUCUGUGAUAGAUAGACAUUAUUUUGGGAGAACAAAAUGGGCUAUUACCACAGGAUGAUAUAAAUUCUCCCUGUCUUCUGGGAAGUUCAGACUGAAAGAUAAUCUGGAUGUAACUAUCCUAAAACAUUAAACAUUUAUGAAAAAUAUAUAUCACGGCAUCUUACAUACAAUUGUGCAAUAUACUUUUGUGAUUUUGCUCCCAAGGCACUUCUUUUAGAUAUUAAAUUGAUGAAAAAUGGCGUGAGGCUUUGCAGCAAGAAAAGAUUUCUCCUCCAACCCCCCAAAUGAACUCCCUAAGACAUAUUUCUUCUGCUUCAUGUUAAAGCAGAAAACUGCAUUUCCACCUCAUCAUUUUAUAUUGUAAUGGUUCUGGUUAUGAAAAUGGAAUAAUCAAGAAAGCUAUUUUUAAAAUAGCUUCACUAAACUAUAGAGGAAAUUAUAUUGUCUGCUGAGUUAGAAAAUCUGUCUACAAUUAGAUUUAAAUGUCACUCCUUUCAGUGCAUUUUGGCAUUUCUGCAGACUGUAGCCCUUAUGAAGUAUAUAGUUCCAGAGUAUGGCCUUCCUCUUUUGAAAGUUAUGACCCUGUGGCAUGCUUUCAGGAGAUGAUGUCUUUAUAUCAGCUGUAAAAGAUAAUUAUCUAAUAGUUGAUGCAGUCUCAUUCCUGUGGCAUAAUUUGUUUUCAUUUACUUUUCCAUAUGUAUUGUGUGUUGUAAGAUUGUGAAGAAAAUUAUUCAUCGGUAGCUAAGGAUAGUACAUAAUUUUACUAUAAAUGUCUCUAUUUUGUAUUUUACAAGUGAUGCUUGUGUAUAUGAAGUGCUAUUUACAUAAAGAACAGUGGAAUUUCAA